AGAUUGAACGCUGGCGGCAUGCUUUACACAUGCAAGUCGAACGCGAAAGGGGGGCAACCUCCGAGUAGAGUGGCGAACGGGUGAGUAAUACAUCGGAACGUAUCCAGUAGCGGGGGAUAACCUCUCGAAAGAGAGGCUAAUACCGCAUACGACCUAAGGGUGAAAGAGGGGGAUCGCAAGACCUCUCACUAUUGGAGCGGCCGAUGUCGGAUUAGCUAGUUGGCGGGUAACGCCCGCAAGGCUACGAUCCGUAGCUGGUCUGAGAGGACGACCAGCCACACUGGAACUGAGACACGGUCCAGACUCCUACGGGAGCAGCAGGUGGGGAAUUUGGACAAGUGGGCGCAAGCCUGAUCCAGCCAUGCCGCGCGAGUGAAGAAGGCCUUCGGGUGUAAAGCUCGUUUGGCGGGACGAAAGGUCCGUGCUAACACCACGGAUCAUCGACGUACCCGCAGAAGAAGACGACCGCUAACACGUACGCCACGCACGCCGACGGUAAUCGUGA
rnacentral:rRNA from 1 species